rnacentral:rRNA from 1 species
CCUACGGGAGGCUGCAGUGGGGAAUAUUGCACAAUGGGCGCAAGCCUGAUGCAGCAACGCCGCGUGAAUGAAGAAGGCUUUCGGUUUGUAAACUUCUUUUAACAGGGAAGAGCAGAAGACUGUACCACUUGAAUAAGCCACGGCUAACUACGUGCCAGCAGCCGCGGUAAUACGUAGGUGGCAAGCGUUGUCCGGAUGUACUGGGUGUAAAGGGCGUGCAGCCGGGAAGACAAGUCAGAUGUGAAAUCCCGUGGCUCAACCGGGGAACUGCAUUUGAAACUGUUUUUCUUGAGUACCGGAGAGGUAAUCGGAAUUCCUUGUGUAGCGGUGAAAUGCGUAGAUAUAAGGAAGAACACCAGUGGCGAAGGCGGAUGACUGGACGGCAACUGACGGUGAGGCGCGAAAGCGUGGGGAGCAAACAGGAUUAGAUACCCUAGUAGUC